AGGAAUACAUAGGAAUUUAAUCUGUCGGAGGGGGGUAACGUAGGGAAACUUACGCUAAUACCGCAUACGACCUACGGGUGAAAGCAGGGGACCUUCGGGCCUUGCGCGAUUGAAUGAGCCGAUGUCGGAUUAGCUAGUUGGCGGGGUAAAGGCCCACCAAGGCGACGAUCCGUAGCUGGUCUGAGAGGAUGAUCAGCCACACUGGAACUGAGACACGGUCCAGACUCCUACGGGAGGCAGCAGUGGGGAAUAUUGGACAAUGGGCGCAAGCCUGAUCCAGCCAUACCGCGUGGGUGAAGAAGGCCUUCGGGUUGUAAAGCCCUUUUGUUGGGAAAGAAAUCCAGCUGGCUAAUACCCGGUUGGGAUGACGGUACCCAAAGAAUAAGCACCGGCUAACUUCGUGCCAGCAGCCGCGGUAAUACGAAGGGUGCAAGCGUUACUCGGAAUUACUGGGCGUAAAGCGUGCGUAGGUGGUCGUUUAUGUCCGUUGUGAAAGCCCUGGGCUCAACCUGGGAACUGCAGUGGAUACUGGACGACUAGAGUGUGGUAGA
rnacentral:rRNA from 1 species